GAGUGCAAAUGUUGUCUGUCUCCAUGUGCGGUGUGAUUGGCUGGCAACCAGUUCAGGCUGUACCCCACCUCCUGCAUGAGGACAGCUUGGAAUUGCUCCAGGACUUUCGCUACCCUUGUGAGGAUAAACGGCUAAAAAAAUGGAUGGAUGAAUUCCUUAUUGUGAUUGUUGUAUGUAGUGGUAUAGUCUACUGCAUCAUAGAGGGAGAGGAUUUAUUUACUUUUUACCCUUUGAUGUAACAAAUUGAGGCAGGAGGAAACUGCACUUUUCCUCUUAAGCUCCUUUUUUAGGCGGUCCCGUGGACAUGACUUCAGCGUGUUGCUUGAAUCUCCGCCAUGCAUCGGGCUACGCCUCGACAGCAUUCAACAAGGUAUGCAACUCUUUUCAAAGCACCAAGUAGGGAGUCCCUGCACAAGUGGCACCCCCUCUCUCCCCUCCAUGUUGGUUCAACCAACCCCCAUUGCCACAACUCAAAUACGAGCCAAUAGUAAAUGACUAUGAUUGAUCUUCUCGCCUCAACUGCUCUUUGAGCUGCUCCCGCUAAAGCUAACAAGUACUAUGGAGAUGAAAUUGCAACUUGAUUUUGAAAUUGCAAUGUUAGUUUCUUUGUAGUAAUUAAUACAAUCCUUAAAGGAUUACCAUUUACCUAAAAUCUACAACAAUGACUGUUCACUCUGUUAGAGCAAAUGUCCCACAAAUCUGUAGUUCGAGUCUUGGCUCCGGACCAAUCCAACGUGUGUGUCUUUGGAGGAAGCUGGAGUACAGUAAUGUAUCAUGUUCACAGAAAAAACUCAUCUCACAGGCAGAAAAUAAUCUUCCCUUUAGAUAUUUGGUACCACAGCCAUGUCAAUUUCUUACAUUAUAUUGCAGUGUUAUGUUUCUGUUUUACCUGCCUUCCAUCCACUUUUUUUAUAUCACACCUGAGGGCACAGUUCCAGUGAAAGCAUUGUGAUAUAUUAGAGCAUUAAUUCUGCCAUGAGUUAUUUCAUUGUUCCGUUUCUGGCCAGUUUUUGUUUCCAGUCCACACCUUCCAGAGAAUAUACUUUUUUUUUCUCUCUACUUAGUGUAAGUUAGAGCCAGUUCAGUCUUUUUUUUUUUUUUUUUUUUGUCAUUCCAUUUGUAGGGAGGAUAGACUUUGCUUUCUCUUUGUUUGUGUGGUUUCUCUUCCUAGUGUAGCCCUUUAGGACCUGUUUUUUUUAAUCGAAGCACUUCCCUAGCUCUGUGGCUCCCUCCAUGUCCCUUCAUUGUUUUGUGACUUGUAUUCUGUUGAUUUGUAUCUCAGGCUUGCAUGAUACCU